AUUCUUGAAAAACGAAAAACUAUCGUCUAUAAUGCCAGUGUCGCGAAAGCGAAGAUGACACUGAUUGCAUUGAAGAAUAAGUCUUUUGGACUGGGGGGCGGUACCCCACAGCUCCACCAAUUAUAACUUUAUGGGGCUGAUACAGAUUCGACAGGGGCUGAAAGACAAUGCUUGUGUUCCGGGGUGGUUCCCGAAAAAACCAUCAAGUGAAUGCUAACAACAUUCCCGCGAACGAUAAUGUUCGCCUUGCGAUGGCCGCCUGAACGGCAUUGGCGCCAAAGCCGAUUGGCAAGUAACGCCGUAAUGCUAUCGCGGGGUUCGCCCGAACCUGGCACCAGAAUCGGGCAAUA
rnacentral:tmRNA from 1 species